UUGCCAUGAUGAACUGUAUAACUUAUUGAAAGUCUAAAUUCUUUAUGAAAGACCGACAAACAUGUCGAUCCUGAGCGGUUACCUGAGCAA